CAAAACAACAGAAAAAGAACAAAAGAAUUGCAAUGGAUAAAUUUUUGUAUUUUACAAACUAUGUGCUUAGUUUUCAAAACGAAACCACAAGCCAAAAGAAAUCAAGAUCUCAAUAACCUACUUAAGAAAUUUAAAUUGCUGUUCUUAACUUUCGAACAAAGGGACAAACUUCAAAAGUCCGAAAACUACUUCUCGACUCUUUUUUGCAAGAACACAGAAUUAAAGAAUUUGGUUCAAGAACAAAAAUCUAUGAUUGACGAACUCAGUCAAUCUAAUUCUUCGACCAAAUGUCAUGGAUUUUUGUCAGUGUUAAGGAUAACAAAAAGUUUCAAUUCUUUGUAGGUGGCUGUUGACAAGUACCACAAAAUUGUUGUUAAAUGAAAGUACACACGUCGAAAAGAAGAACGGAAUGUCUUGGGUAUGGUAGAUUUAACUCUACACAAAUGCUAGACAAUUUUUUGCAAGACCCUGUUAAUCAGACACUGAAUGACAUGGAAAUAGGUUUUGGGUCAACACAUUAACCACUGUUCUAAAAAUCCCCGCGACACUAGGCGGUUGGCCACUGCCCGAUUAAUGCCUAGGAAUUUGAAAAUUAAGAAAGGGUGCCUAGACCUACUUAGGCACCUGUCUAGACCCGCUUACACAUAAAAUAUAUAACUUUCACUUUGCAUUUUAUUUUUCAAGAUAUUGUAAUAGACUUGUUGCAUACUUUCAUUUUUUUCAAUAAAUUGUUAUAGGCUUUACAGAAAAUAGAUAACUUUCAUUUUGCAUUUUAUUUUUUCAAUAUAUAUAUAUAUUGUAAUAGUGUGUCGCCCCGAUCCCGAGAUACGCCUGGAAUCGACAUGCGAUGAUAGAACAGUAGCGGUACAAUAUAAAAUACAUAGAGUCAUUGAGACUCAUUCAUAUAAUAUACAUUAGAGCUCAGCGGAAAUAGCUUACAACAAAGGGUGGCAAUCCUAUUCUCGAGUGCAAUGCCUACAUUGCUACAUAACCUGCAACCUUCUUCUCUAACCGCUACCCAUUACUCUGCAAAAUAACCCUACGUCGUGGGUAGACUUGGCAUUUCAAACCCGACCUGACCUGACCCGUUAAAAUAAGUAUUCGUGUGAAUGUUUAACUGGUUGGGUGGUUAAUGGGUCAACCCGUUAAGCACCCUGUUAAAUAACGGAUCAUUUUGAGUGAACCUGCGAAACCCAUUAACACCCGUUAUUUAGAGUUUUUGUGUAAUUUCAGCAGUCAAUAAUGAAACCCUCACUCUGUCUCGCAUUCCACUAUUGCAGUACAAGCACGCCAUCUCUAAGAAGUUCUCCCUCAUCUUCUUCCUCAUAAAUUACCACUCUCUCCAGCGUCUUCUUCCACUUCGGCGUGCCCUCAUCUUCUUCCUCCAAGUCCUCCGCGUGCCUUUAUCUUCUUCCACUCCGGCGUCUUCUUCAACUCGACGACGUGCACAAUACUGCAGUACUGCACUAUUGCAGUACGGGAUAACGAAAUUGCUUCUGGUUCUGGCUGCCGUUCUCUCCCUCAUCUUCUUCCUCAGAAAUUACCACUCUCUUCACCAAGACAAAAAACCUUUGCACAAAGAAUGUGAUGUACGUGGCAAUUUGUAAACCGUGGAACUGAAACCGCGUAUGAUGUAUUUUGCUCGCCGACACUAAUUACGAGGUGGGGUCCUAUCAAAGUUGCGCUAGAUUCGAAUUUGGAAUGAGGAGCAUCUUCUUUGAGAAUCUUACACGGAUUUUUUUUGUGAGACCUCUUUCGGAUUUUUUUUGUGUAGAUCUUGAGAAUUCUUAAAUCGUGUUUGUUCAUCUCA